rnacentral:tRNA from 1 species
GAACCUGUAGCUCAGUAGGAUAGAGCGGCGCCCUCCUAAGGCGCGUGCGGGGGUUCGAUUCCUCUCAGGUUCGCCA